rnacentral:lncRNA from 1 species
GUUUAUGUGGUCACAUUUCUUAGUAAAAGCAAGUCCAAUGUGUCAUCUCAUUUUAAAUCACAUAGAUUUAACAAAUAUCAGUGAAUAAUUACAGGUAGUAUAUGGUAAAUGACCACAUCUUUAUGGCUUUCCCUGGAAAUACCUAGAGAAUUAUUCUGAGAAUUGCAAGCUUUUCUUUUUUCUAAAGUGUUUUUCAAAAUGACCGAUCAUGUGUUUUAAUUUGACUAAGAAGAAUAUUCUACAAUAAGAUUGUACAAGACUCUGAAGUAGUUCACAAAAAGCACCUAACAUUUAUCAUGUUCCUUCACUAAUUGGCUUCCACUGUGCGUGGAGGAUUAAUCUAUUUACUUGACAAAUAUUUUAUUGAGAAAGUCAGUUUCCCAACAUAAUUUUUAUUUGCAAUUUCAUGGAGCUUAUGUCAGUAUUUGAUGAUGAUUUUCCCUCUUGAUAAUUUUCAAAGGUCAUAAAACGUCUUUUUAGUUUAAUAUGAGAACAAUCUUCUAGAGAUGUAAAACAUAAGCUUUUAUGCUUUCAUCAAGAGAACAGAUUUCAAAUCUGUAUAAAUUAAGCCAACCUGUUGCUGUUUUUAUUAACACUUGAAAUUCAUUCUUUACAAAAUAAGACAGAAUGAGGAGUUCUCAUAUAUAUUACUCAUAUUCUAUCUGCUAUACAAAUAUAUGUAUAUGAAUGCACAUAUGUCUGAUAUAUUUUAUGAGUGUAGAUUGGUUAUAUUGUGUUCUUUUAUACAAAAUAUUUCAGUAAAUAUUUUACAUAGGCUUACCAUAGUGUUAUUAAAUGUAGAAGUUUUACUUUCACACAAUACUCUCUCACCUGCAACCCAUAAUCAAAUUUUGCCAAUUGCCCUAUAAUGGAUAGAACUGACCAAAUUUGUAGUUUUUCAUGUUCAAGUCACAGUCACUGAUAUCAUAGCUACUUAGAAGUGGCUUCAACUUUGUUCCCAGUGGCCAAAGUUUCCACAGGUCUUUUCUCUGUUGCUUUUUGUCAUGGGCCAAGAAACUGUUACAACUCAUGUUUCGAAGUGAGUGAACUCUCAGCAAAACAGAAAUACAAGUUUUGUAAUCUUGAGAAUUAAGAGACUACUAAAUAUUUGGAAAAUUAGUUACUUGGAAAACAAUUUUCAGACACAAAACAAAUAGUGGAAAUGCAUCAGUGUAAUUGCUUGAAAUGGAGAUAUCUCAGUUAGAGCAACUUGGACACAAAGAGAAACAGC